rnacentral:lncRNA from 1 species
GAUCUACGGUUUCUUUCCUUAUUUCUCUCUCGACACGAAGCUUGGUCCGAGAGUUCGACCUCCGAUUUCUCUCCGAUUUGAAGCCGUUUUCCGACCAAACAACCCGAAAAUCGAUCUCAUCUCGACCAUUUAAUCAUUCUCUGCUUUCAAUUAGUUAGAAUCCGUUCCAAAAUCGCCUCGUCUGUCUCCUCUGGGUCUCAUCUCCUCUGGGUCUCAUCGCAUCCUCUGUCUCCGGCGAGAUACAGUAGGUAAAUCGUCAUAAUCUUUGUGAUAGAACUCGUUUUUGGUUGUUGAAUCCGAAGAGUUGUUGCUUUUGUUAUGAUUAAUGAGUUAUUGAUGAAGAAAUAUAGGUUUACAAAUGAAUUUCUUAUGAGAUUUCGGUUUUGAUAUGUAAUGGAAACUGAUAUAUUUCAUGAUAUCUGUUUCAGUGUUGAUUAAAGUUAGACUUGGUAGAUUAUGUGAAUAGAGUAUGUCGGGUUCUCAAAUUUUUUAGUUCAUCAAGUUUUGGUUCAGUUCUAUGUCUUUGUUGAUUAACCUUAACUGUGAUUUUGCUUUGUUUCUGAGGUUGCAAGGUGAGUGUAGCAGGGAAACUUAAAUCUGGAAAGAAACAACUACUCCCACUAAUAACAGAACAGCAAAAAGGUAUGUCACAUUACUCCAUUUAGUUAAUGUUAGAGACAACUAGUAAUUGGAUCAUCUCGUGUGCAUGUUUUCAGUGGUUCUUUGUGUUUGUGAUCAACUAGUAGUAGUUCUUUGUUU